UUUCAGUGAUCACCUUUCAAUUUAUAUCCUCAAACCAUUAUCUGUUCCCUCUAUUCAAAACUCAUAAAUCAGAACUUUGAAUGUUUCAUAUUUCCAUUAAAAAAAAAUCAACAAAAAACACCUCAAAAAUUCUCCUGGAUGUUUUUACCUUCCAGAACAGUGUUCAGGAGUAUCAACCAUUUCAGGAUACUGAAAUGAAAAACAUUGCCACUAAUUGAAAAAUACUUGACUUUCAGAAGCACAGGAUUACUUCAGAAACCAUUAUUUACAAAAAUCAUAUUGAUGUGCCUCAAGAUGGGAGAGGUAGGACCAGACUUCAAGGAGCAGCUUUCAAGAAAAAUCAACUGAAUUACAAGAGGAGGGAAAAAUUAGGGAUAAGCAAGAGAGAGAAAGACUACAAGAGGAAGAUGGAGCAAGUCACCUGAAGACAAACAUCAUUCAGACAAUUUCUGUAAGGAAAUGAUAUGGAAAGAGUCUCCAGGAGAGAGUAGUCUGUAAGCAAUAUUUUAGUUCUAGACCAACAAUAUUAUCUCUGGAAGAAAGCACCAUAUUUGAGAAAAUGCUGAAUAGGAAGAAAAUUAAGUUGCUCUGGCAAAUCCACACAAAGGUGGAAAAAGAUCACAAGACAAACCUGUGGUAGAUAACUUUUCUUUGCCUCCCCAUCCAUCUAUUGCCAUUUGAGCCUAAUCUAAGUGUCAGAAUACUGAAUGUGAGUUUUUCCAAAGUUCUCUGGUGAGCAUUUUGUCACAGUGGGGUAGAUGCUGGCAAUCCUCAUCACUGUUAACCAUAUCUACCAUAUGCAUUGCAAGGUAAGCAAAGCCCUUCCAGUGAGUCCAACUGCAGGGUAGCAGUUGCUUCAACCUUAAUGCACAUUUUAAGAUCAUUGGCAGUGAUUCUGCUAAGACAUCAAGCAGCUGAGCACAUCUCAAGUUCAGGUUCACACACCCUCUUCAAGAGGGGAGCUUUAUUAGGAAGCAACACAGGCACCCAAUUCCACCCUCACACUCCUUGAAGAUGAAAAAGAAACAAAACAACAAAAAAAAUGGCCAGCUGUGUAUUUCAAAAGCAAUAAUACCAUUUUCUCUUUGCUUUACAAGACAAUAGUCCAACUCCCUCGGUCACUGACUGGCUUCAGAGUUUACACCUCACCAAUCUAAGAAUUCAUUUGUGAGCCAGAAGGACAGUGAUGCUACCACAGAAGUACUUGGUCACCAGGUUGCAAAAGGGUGACUUAACUUUCCACAGGACAGACUUAUUUUAAAAUCCCCCAGUAUCAAUUACGUGGGCAAACCCUGUGAAGUUCAAUUAUUUAAGCUGUAUAUGUGGAGAACCUGGCAGUGACAACCAAACAGAGGAGUUCAUCUGGAAGUCAUAACACAAAGCCCUGAUAAUGCCAAGUUAAUCCUUCAGGCCUAAUAUUUUGCCCUGUAAAUCUGAAUAACUUUAAAGUGACCAUACAUUCUGCUGUACAGCCAACAAAAGGGACACGUGGUCAAUGCAUAAUAAUCAGGUUUUCCUUUUGGACCUCUUUGGCUGAGUGAAUUUUAUUCUCCUGUUGAACUUAAAAAGGGACACUGUUCUGAGUGAUCUGAACUCAUUCAUGGCUACUGGAGAGCAGGAUGGCACAUGACUAAAACCAGACAGGAAUAAGUUGUGUUGGAGGACCCAACGAGGCUGGAGAUCACCAGAGUGCCCAGCCUUCAAAAUCUGAGCAGGAUACCAGCAUGCACAAGCCCCUUUUCUUAACAAACCAAGUACUAAACUUGCCUGGUGUCACUGAGCAAGGACAGGCCACAGCUAAGAGAAAGAAUUCAAAUGCCACGGGUGGGAGUGCCACCCUGGGGGCAUCAGACUCCAUCCUGUCCUAGCUGAGCUUGAUGCCUGGCCCAUUCUCACUCAUCAUAGAAGCUCCUGAGUGAACAACUCAGCUUGUGGAGCCCCAGAGGAGCUGCCCCAGUGCAGCUGGGCUGUUUGGCACUGGGAGUGACACAGCACUUCAAAUAAAACAGGGCCAGUAUUUUUUUAGACCUUGAUUCACACUAAACCGCAGAGAUUCUUCUAGUUUUUCAAAAAGAAUAUGUCAAUCAGGGCACUGCAAACCCUUCCAAAAAGAAUAUGUCAAUCAGGGCACUGCAAACCCUUCCAAAAAGAAUAUGUCAAUCAGGGCACUGCAAACCCUUCCAAAAAGAAUAUGUCAAUCAGGGCACUGCAAACCCUUCCAAAAAGAAUAUGUCAUCAGGGCACUGCAAACCCUUCCAAAAAGAAUAUGUCAUCAGGGCACUGCAGAACCAUCCAGAGCACUUCGGUUGGGAGCAAAAAGGACCCUCAGCAAAGACAUGCUGUAAGUACCUUGCAGAUCCUGGCAGACAGUCCAAAAUGCUCUCUCCUUGAGGAUGAGGGAUUCUGCAGGGCAAGGGUCUGUGCUCCCGGGGGUGGGAGAGCUGAUCCUGUGAGCUGGAAGGUGGUGCUCUUAGUGCCAACUCCCAAGGAAAGCAAAGGAAACCACGGAGCUGGAGGCAAUGCUAUCCAUGGCUCUGCCAACAUCACACCUUCUCCACACUCCCUCAUUGUCUUCAAGGACAGUAAUCCCUGCAGACACCCAAAAAAACACAUAUCUACACGCAAAAAAGUGCAUAUCUAGAGUAAUCAGUCUCACCUAGGCACUUUGCAGUAACUCUUGGCUUUUUUUCCCUUUUUGCCAGCACCUACUACCAUUGUGAGGUGAAGACUGCCACAGAGAGCUUUGUAAAAAGCUUAUGUUCAUGGAGGAAUUUGUAUUAGAUACUGGUUUGUGUGACUUACUGUAUUUUGUAAGGGUUUUUUUCCCUCUGGGAAUUGUGCGUUAUAACUGAGCAGUUUUAUGCUUUCCUUCUAGUACACGUAUACCUUGUAAUGGAUGUGCUUUUCUGUUUGUUUGUUUUCUUUUAUGCUCUAUACAGAGCCUGUUAAUAGAAGGUAGAUACUCUCUGGCUGAAAUUCUCAUUUUGCCUCCCAGUUAAUUUAUGGAUAAAUCCCUGUUGUAGCUGGUGAACUGCGGUUCACCAAGUGUGUUGUUAGAAUCACCUGAUAGUCUCUCUAUUUUAGCAGAAUACGAGAUCCUGAGUAAGACUAAUGCUAGCUGGGCCUUAAACUCCAGGGAAAUAGUGCACUUCAUGUGAUUCCCUACCUGCCCUUCUCCCUCAGUGUUUGGGACACUGUAGAAGAGCACUGGCUACACAAACAGUCCCCUCAACACCUCAGCCAUCUCUGUAGCUGGGCUCUGAUACCCCCCUGCUUUUACUUCAUCAGAAUCAUGGUGAACCAGAUAAACUGCAAUGAACUAUUCACUUUUUUCCUGCAGAGACCGGUUCAAACACAACCUUUCUCUGUAAGAAAGAAUCUGGACUAAAAUAGAUAUAUUUUCCUCUGUUCCAUCCUGAUCUGGUUGGAAAAAUAAGGGAUCUAAAAUUAACAUUUACAGCCUAUGUUACAACGGCAGCUGUCUGUCUCAGUGGCUAUUAAUGACCUUCAUGCUCCAGAAACCUCCUUCCUUGUCCAACUCAUUUUCUCUCUUGAGUUUUACUGAGAACUCAGUGUCCAACUUCUUAAUAAUUGCUGUGUAUAACGUAGGACAUAAAAAGAUAAGUUACAAAGCUUGUGCAGGACUUGGUGUUGUAAUUAACCAUCUUUUGUGCCUGGUUAUCAAUUUUACAAAAACAGAGUGAAAAUAAUCCGGCCUCUCAAUGUCUACUUCAGCAUAUUGUAGCAGCUCUUUUAGAUAACUGUUUUUUAUAGUUUUACUGUAAUUUCUGUAUGAGGACUGUCCACUUGAAGAAGCAACAGGUCAAAAUGAUUUUUUAGAGUCAGUUCCAUUUCACCACCAGUGAUGGUGUAUGAAAGGUAUAAAGCAGCAAAAACAAAACCUCAGCCACUCGCCAGGAAGAAACACCUUUUCUCAGCCUCAAACAAUCCUCUUCUGCAAGACAGGCAUUUCUUCUAGUCCUCCUUUUACAAAAGUAGUAAAUCACUAAGAAUAUAUACAGUACAAUAGUCUAUUUUAAUAGUCAGCAGACAAAUUUUAGGCUAAUUAAGCUAACUAGAAAUUCUAGGGUUGCAGUGAUUUCUCUUUAUCAAUACAUUGACAAUAAUACUGUUUACAUAACACUUGAUGUUCGAAAUCAAUACGUGCCAGUGUCCAGUGAUUUGCUAAUCUAGUUUUGGAUCUAAUCCUGUCCUAUUUUUUGCAGCAUUCUCUGACUUCAUAUUAAGAAUCAUGUUGUCUUUCUAAAGUGAUUGCCAAGUAAACCAAAAAUGUGUUUUACACUGCUAUUGCACUGCUCUUGUCUUUAUAUACAGUAGUUUUUAUAAAGAUGUCCUUAGGUUUUAAUAAAUGAGUGUAAUGUAAACUAAUCUCUGUAAUAAAACUUGCUUUAGUGUUUCAAA